UAAAUCUGACUUUGUCGAAUUAAACCAGGAGUUUGGAAACGAAUUUUUGAAUGAAACCAAUUGGGGGAUAAUUGGUUUAUACCAUGGUGAUAACCGAGAGAGGCAAUUGCUAAAGUUGUGAUGCACUCAUACCUUUACUAGAUGCGAACAAUUCCGGAGAAGAAGAAGAAGUGGAAUCGCACGAGGAUUUUAUUUAUAUAUGUUGUUGGAAUUCUUAUAUUGAUGGAGUUGAAGAAGUACAGGGACAAAUAAGCCAAGGCAAUCCAUCUUUUGAUCUCUUGCUAUUUAUCCUUCUUGUUGUGCUCAUUGCUCCAUUAUACACUUGGUUCCUUGUAUCAUAUGUGAUUUUUGGUCCUCUACUCUAUGCAUGCUUAUUCCCAAAGUAUGUUGAACCCCUUGUUGAUGCUUUGCAUACUUGCUCCCAAGUAUGUGAACCCCCUUGUUGAUGUUAUGCAUGCUUACCCUAAGCAUGUAUGCCCCCUUGACCAUAUCCAUGUUGUCAUCUUCUUAGUGGUAUGAUGAUUAACAUCAUGACCCCUGUUUGAAUCAUCUUAAUUAUGUUGUCCCUAUACAUGCUUAUCCUAAGUAUGUAUGAUCCCCUUAACACCUCAAUUAUCAUCCCCUUAGUGGUAUGAUGGCUAGCAUCAUGUCAUUGUGACUCUUAGUUCCUUCAUAGAACUAUAGGUUGGGAACCCCCUUGGAAAAAUACCUUGUUGAAAAUAAUUUUUGAAAACCUUGGGUGAGUUGGACUUACCCAAGUGUGUGUUUAUGAAA